rnacentral:tRNA from 3 species
AAAACUUUAAGUUAAUUCAAACUAAUAAUCUUCAAAAUUAUAAAUAAAAUAAAUUUUUAAGUUUUA